UGUAACUGCUUUCUUUUUAAUGAAAAAUGUCAUGGUCGAUAGAAAAAAGAAAGAGAAAUAGGCCCGGAUUGGCCUCCCACCUCCCUCCACAGCCCGGAUUCUAUCCCCGCCUCAUGCUCUCCGGAUCGCAUCCGGCUGGGCGCGAGGCCGAGCCUGAGCUGGCGGUGCUAGAGGUGAUGAGGCGGCGGCGCGUCGCGAGGGGAAGCGACAGCGCAGCACGAGACGGCGGGGGCUGUUCCCAUCCAUCGUCCGCGCUCUUGACCUUCUUCUCGCCGGUAACGCAUCGCCCUCGUCUUCCUUCCCUCUUCUCUCCCUGGUUCUAAGGUUGUUGCUAGGGUUCUUGCUCCAUCCCGCCGCUCACCACGUUGACCAUGUGCCCCUCCUGCGAGAACCUCGCCACCGCCGACUAGGCCGGCCGCACGGCUCGCCCCACGCCCAUGGGCCCGUGUGCAAUCUUCAGGAUCCAUGAUCAUUAGUUAGCCUAUUCCAUGCAGAAAAUCCUCUUGUGUUUUUCUGUUCUGUAAAGUUUUGUAUUCCCUUAGCUCCAAUCCCGUUUUUUUCUGAAUCAAUGAGCAUCACUGUUCUGAAAAAAGUACGAAACCUCUAUGAAAUAUGAUGCAGAGAAAAUUCAGAGUUUCUUCUCUGCGUGAUUUCGUCCAUGGAAGUAGCUUAACUCAUUUGCAGAUGCAAAGCAAACUAAGGAUGAAGUGCUUUUUUUCUCUAAAUUGUUCUGUCGUCAAGAAAGCUCGAACAACAUUGUGUCAGUCAUCAUGCAUCGACACCGUUCUUUUAUCCUUUGCCUACUUUCUACAAAGCUAGCUACGGUUGAUGCUCAGCUACUUGCAAAGACUGAAGGAUGCUGCACCUGCGCUGAUAGGAGUUGAUUGUUUCAGACACGGGGUGGCAGGCUUCCAUGCAUCUACUAGCCUUGCUUGUUGAUUCAGGUCCUAUCUAGACACUCGCUGUCAGCACAACUCCGGUUCCUUGCCUUUUAAUCAUCUACUUGCUAUGAGGGAGUUCAUGUGCUUCUAUCAAUUGCUGUCUUUCAAUAUCUUCCUCUGCCAUGUUCUUAUUAUAUAUUUUGGUAUACCUGAAACUGGCACUGGCAUUGGCAGUGCAAUUGUUAGGUUUUCAGUACCACUAUUGCUGUGAAACCAGCAAUUGAAAUUGACACCCAAGUUACAGAUAAUAGAGUUAAGAUUUUGUACCCUACUGUUAGUGGACGGCAUUCAAGCUUCAAAGUCCAAGUUUCAAAUGUUUGAGAAUUUUUCUUUUUACUACUUAGAACUAAAUUAUAUGUAGUAUAUUAUAUGUCUGAAAACUUGUAACUAAAUAGUUGUGGAAUCAUUAUCUAGUCAUCUUGCCUGUGUCAAAUUCAGUUUUUUAUAUCAGCUCGGAAUUGCCGGAAGCUAGUGCACUGGUAUAAUAUAAUGUCUCCAAUGGACGUGAUUAAUAUUGCA